ensembl:lncRNA
AUGAUAUUACGUUUUAAUGACUACCACUUUGUCAUAGGAGGUGACUUCAAUGCUGUGCAUAAUCCCCGACUUGAUAAUCAUAUCAAAUAUCUCACUCUAAACUACACCUUUUCAAAGUUAUGUAAUGACUUUAUAAAACAGGUCAGUGUGUGUGAAAUUUGGCAGUUGAGGAAUGAGGCUGUUAAAGACUACAUGUUCUUCACAGCUUGCCAUGAAUCUGAUUCUUGGAUCGAUUAUCUGCUUAUACUGGAUCACCGGCUUUCAUUCCAUUUAUUGAUAAUACUGAUAUAUUACCUUUUCUUCUUUCAUAUCACUCCCCAAUCACUGUGAUGGGCUUCUUGUUGGAAAACACUCCUACCAUAAUGUUUUUCUGUUGGACUUGUCUAUGCCCAAGGUGUUUUUAUGGGGGGAGGGGGGUUAUUUUGUUAGUUUCAUUUUGGUGGGUUUUCUCUCCCUCUCUCUCUCUCUCUCUCUCUUCUGUUAAAAGCUGUUGAAUUAUUAAGUAGCGUCUUAAUAGUGUUAGUGUAUGUUUUUCCUUGUAUUUUAUGUUGUGACCACUGGGAGGUGCUCUGGGCAUAUUGAAGCAUAUACAGGCUGAACAAGAGUGGUGCAAAAAUUCAUGGAUGUCCACUUAGACCAGGGGUGAGCAAGUUUGGUUAUAGAGGACCUCAGUCCUACAGAGAGAAAAAGUCCCAGAAAGAAAUUAGGCGUUUACCACAGAUCUGGGGCCCGUUUUAAAAAGUCUUUAAAAGUUAGUCAUCUAAUCAUAGCUUUUUAAAUUCAGUUAUGAAAAGUUAGAUUGGUCUUAUUUGUAUUGGAAAAGUAAGACUGAUUACCCUAACUGGGCCCUGGGGGUAUUCCAGAAAGCAGGCUUAACUUACCAUCUGCUAAACCCUGAACUCUCAGUUGAUUAACCCAAACCUUGUUUAUUUGAGGUAUGCUGGUUCCAAAAACACAUCCGGAGUAAGUUCAUCCUGAGUUCCAACCCUGAGUUCCAGAUGUUCCUGGAUAACACACAAGACAUUCUCAACAGAGCAACAAAUCGACGAGUCACUAUGGAAACUUACACUAAGAAAAAGCGUGCAAUGCUGCUUAUUUCUUCUUCUUUUGUUCGAUGGUCAUUUACAUGCUUUGUGCAUAUUGCCCCCUAAUUGAUGGUUGUGCAAUCAUUUGCCAUUUUUUCCAUUUAAUCUUUUAAUCACAGAGAAUAAGAACUAUGCUAUUAAUUUGAUGCUAAUUAUAUAAUUAGAAAUAUCACAUGUAUUUUAUUUUAUUAUAGAAAUAUAUUAUAGAAAAUGCAGGUCCAUGACAAUAAAAUAAGUAUAUUACAAUAAAAUAAACAUUACCUUGUUAUAAUAGUAUUUUACGAUUACAAUAUAUUAUUAACUAUUACAUAUGACAAUAGAAUAAAUAUAAUAACAUGUUAGUAUAGUAUAAUAUAAUAUUACCUUAUAUAGUACUAUUGUUAUAAUAUACUGUAUAAUAUUGUGCGCAAUCUGUCACACCUACUGGAGUCUCAUCAGUAGGUAACACAUGCACUGAUAAGCGCUGAACUGAAUUAACCCUGAAACAAAACCUACUCCAGAACAGGUAAAGUUCAGAGAAUAAGUUGCUAUGGGCACUUACAUACCCUGAAAGUUACCACCAUUUUUGGAACCGAAAGCUAAGUUUAUUUGCUUACUUGCCCUUAAAGGUGCUGUAUGUAAGAUUGACACUGAGUGGUUGAACUAGGUAUUGCAGUACAAAUUCAAAAUAUUGGAGAGGGGUUUUUUCACCUGGCCCCUCCUCCUCUG